rnacentral:rRNA from 1 species
GACGUAGGAGGCGAGCGUUAUCCGGAUUUACUGGGCGUAAAGCGCAUGUAGGCGGUUCGUCAAGUCGUGUGUUAAAGCCCCUGGCUCAACUGGGGGAGGUCAUGCGAGACUGUCGGACUUGAGGACCGUAGAGGCACGUGGAACUCCCGGUGUAGCGGUGGAAUGCGUAGAGAUCGGGAAGAACACCCGUGGUGAAGGCGACGUGCUGGGCGGUAACCGACGCUGAGAUGCGAAAGCGUGGGGAGCAAACAGG